UUUAAGGAGCUGUUUGCCAACUAGUCUUUGCCUGAAGAUCAACCUUGCUGCUGAUUCCCAAUGAACCUCGUUCCUUCAUAGUUUUAUCUAGUUCCAUGUUUUUGCCUGUUUCAUCUGUAAGCUGACCAUCUGUUGCUUUCUGUGCCUCUCAGGAAAAGUCUGGUUACUGCCUAGUCUACCAGAAUCCCUGUGGCAGAAGAACAAGAACCUCUCAAAGACGUUUUGGGCCAAACAAACAGUUCUUUCUCCUCCAGGCACUCCCUGCCUGUCCACUCUGACUCUGUGCAUGCUACCCACUGACCUCUUAAGACCCUUUGGCUCCCAUGCCUUCAAAUACAUGGAUCAAUUGCUACCAGGAUCAUUAGCCUCCCUUUCAGCCUUCGCCUUCCCCUGAACUUGACACAGAUAAACCCAAUUGCCUGAAUUAAUACAUUGUUAUUGUUAAUAAAUACUUAAACUGGGGGUAUAAUCAUGUCCUUUGUAAACUUAGAUUUUGGUGCAAAAUGUUUGGACACCACUGCUAUGGGGUAUUGGAGAGGAUGUUCUUUCUUACUUGUAAAUGUGACUUUCAUACUGGACUAGGGCUCAUAUUUACAGAUUCUCAGAGUCCUCUCGCAACGUCUGUGACGUUGUCUUCUAAGAGCUGUGAUUGGCUGUUAAAUGACAAAACAAAAUGUGCUCCUAGUAAUCAAUGGACAGAAAUUAACAAAUGAUGGAAUGUAGACUGGAUUCAGAAAUGUGUAAAUCAUGAUGAUGAAACACAACAAAAUUAAAUUGUCACACAGCAUCAACAUGUUUGAACAUGUUGCUUAUUUA